rnacentral:rRNA from 1 species
UACCAGCACCCCGAGUGGUCGGGACGUUUAUUGGGCCUAAAGCAUCCGUAGCCGGUUCUACAAGUCUUCCGUUAAAUCCAGCUGCUUAACAGAUGGGCUGCGGAAGAUACUACGGAGCUAGGAGGCGGGAGAGGCAAGCGGUACUCGAUGGGUAGGGGUAAAAUCCGUUGAUCCAUUGAAGACCACCAGUGGCGAAGGCGGCUUGCCAGAACGCGCUCGACGGUGAGGGAUGAAAGCUGGGGGAGCAAACCGG